GUUACCUACAUCCUCUUGAGACAGUGGGAUCAGCAGAGGGUCGGGAGAGAUAAUGAGCACCAGGAUGCUAUCAUUCACCCUAUGAAAGCUCAAGCCCUCAUUUGGGCCACCGAGGAAGCCCAUAGGUUGACCACCUCUAGCGACCACUUAGGGAAGCUCUGGGCCAAAGAUCCCAUGUAUCAUGCUUACAUAGAUCCAGUGUUCCCUUCCCUAAAGUUGCAUUAG
rnacentral:rRNA from 1 species